GGUAGUAUAGAGAUGAUCUAUUUAGACUCGUUGAUGACUAAUAUUGUUCCAUCAAUUUAGAUUUUUACAAAAAAUUCAGACUAUCUGUGGCGCUGAUUGCUUAUCUAUAUGCAAGUUUGUAAUUUCUUCUGUUUUCUUUUUGUAAUCCCAAGUUAAUUGAACUAUAAUUUUUUUACUCCACGUUACAGAAGGUUGUUUGAGCCACCGGAGGUUGAAAGGAGAUAAAGUUCUCUUGGUUCAGAGAUGGAAGAGUUUGCAUGGCAAACUCUGGCUGGCCUUAAUCCCCUUAGCAUUCAGUUGGUUACUGCUGCAUGUUAAAAAGACUUAUGUAUGUUCAGUUCAUACUUGUGUUGUUGCUAUUUGAUUGACUGUCUUGGAGUAAGUUUGAUUAUUGGUCAAGCAUAUAGUUUUGACAUGACUGUAAAAUGACUAGUUAAUUGUUACUUUGUUGUUGACGAUUGAGACUGUAAAAUGACCAAGUACGGUUUUACCAAGUGUAUUUGCAGAUAAAUAGC